rnacentral:lncRNA from 1 species
AUAGUUUGAAUUUUUAUAAAGUCGUGAUAUGCAUACUACCAAUUUGAAUUUUUAUUCAGUGGAUUAAAACAUGGUGAUGCUUUAUUAAGUGUUUACUUACAACUUCUAUGUAUAAAAAUUGAAGAUAACAAACAACAAGGACAAAGCAAGGACGAAGUGGUCAUAACAUAACAUAAGGAACAGACAUUAAAUAUGACUAUGAAGUUCAUUUC